AGAACGAACGCUGGCGGCAGGCUUAACACAUGCAAGUCGAGCGCCCCGCAAGGGGAGCGGCAGACGGGUGAGUAACGCGUGGGAACAUACCCUCCGGUUCGGAAUAGCUCAGGGAAACUUGGAUUAAUACCGGAUACGGCCUAGCGGCGAAAGAUUGAUCGCCGGAGGAUUGGCCCGCGUCUGAUUAGCUAGUUGGUGGGGUAAUGGCCCACCAAGGCGACGAUCAGUAGCUGGUCUGAGAGGAUGAUCAGCCACGUUGGGACUGAGACACGGCCCAAACUCCUACGGGAGGCAGCAGUGGGGAAUAUUGGACAAUGGGCGCAAGCCUGAUCCAGCCAUGCCGCGUGUGUGAUGACGGCCUUAGGGUUGUAAAGCUCUUUCGCUCGGGACGAUAAUGACGGUACCGAGAUAAGAAGCCCCGGCUAACUUCGUGCCGGCAGCCGCGGUAAUACGAAGGGGGCUAGCGUUGUUCGGAAUUACUGGGCGUAAAGCGCGUGUAGGCGGGUCUUUAAGUCAGGGGUGAAAUGCCAGGGCUCAACCUUGGAACUGCCUUUGAUACUGGAGAUCUUGAGUCCGGGAGAGGUGAGUGGAAUUGCGAGUGUAGAGGUGAAAUUCGUAGAUAUUCGCAAGAACACCAGUGGCGAAGGCGGCUCACUGGCCCGGAACUGACGCUGAGACGCGAAAGCGUGGGGAGCAAACAGGAUUAGAUACCCUGGUAGUCCACGCUGUAAACGAUGGAUGCUAGCCGUUGGGGAGCUUGCUCUUCAGUGGCGCAGCUAACGCUUUAAGCAUCCCGCCUGGGGAGUACGGUCGCAAGGCUGAA
rnacentral:rRNA from 1 species